rnacentral:rRNA from 1 species
UACGGAGGAUCCGAGCGUUAUCCGGAUUUAUUGGGUUUAAAGGGAGCGUAGGUGGAUUGUUAAGUCAGUUGUGAAAGUUUGCGGCUCAACCCCGGCCCGCCGUUGAAACUGGCAGUCUCGAGUUGGAGAGAAGUAUGCGGAAUGCGCGGUGUAGCGGUGAAAUGCAUAGAUAUCGCGCAGAACUCCGAUUGCGAAGGCAGCAUACCGGUGCACAACUGACGCUCAGGCACGAAAGCGUGGGGAUCGAACAGG